UACGGAGGGUGCGAGCGUUGUCCGGAAUCACUGGGCGUAAAGGGCGCGUAGGUGGCGACGCAAGUCAACGGUGAAAGCUCGACGCUCAACGUCGAGUCGGCCGUCGAGACUGCGUGGCUCGAGCACUGUAGAGGCAGAUGGAAUUCCGGGUGUAGCGGUGGAAUGCGUAGAGAUCCGGAAGAACACCGGUGGCGAAGGCGGUCUGCUGGGCAGUAGCUGACACUGAGGCGCGGACAGCGUGGGGAGCAAACAGG
rnacentral:rRNA from 1 species